UUUAUUCAGUUUAUCUAAGCAAGACAUUUGUAACUUUUUGUAAAGGUGGUUUUUAAUGAUCUUUUUCCUAUUAAAUGUAAAUAAGUUCUCAAAUAGUUUUGAUUAACUUCUUAAAGUUUUUAAUGUUUGAUUUUUAUAAUUCUGAACACUAAAAUGAAACAAAAUUUUACUAUUCAAGAAAAAACUAUUGAGUAAUUUUCUUAAAUUCCUAAACAUUUCUAAACAUAUUUACACAUAACUUAACAUAUUUUUAUUAAAGUGUUAACGAAAAAAAAACUACAAUUUUUGCAACAAUUUCGUUAGUACCCAUAGAAAUACUCAUUACGCAUCCCCAGUUUUAAAGCAUUCUUUGCAAGGGGCCUACCAACCGACCAGCCCAAUACAACAAUAAUCAACUUAACAACAAUGUUAAGGAUAUUGUAUUCUCCAAUAUACAUAUAAAAGUGUGUGUUUGGGGAGUGUGAGUGUUUAGAUGUAUGUAUUUAUGUAUAUGAGGGUUGUAGUUGUUUUUGGCUGAUGAUGAUACAAUUGUAUUUAUUUUUAACAUUCAGCCAUAUUGUCUGCAUAUUGAAUAUAGGAUUCACUAUGACUGUAUGUGUGUGUGUGUGAGGGAACGUGAGUGCAUGUUUGGAAGUGUGUAACCAAGUGAGUGAGUGACUUAGUAAUUGUAUUUGAAUGUAUGUUGUUGUGUUUGUAUGUAUGUUAGUUGACUGACAGACAGAAAAACCCUGUUGCUUCUCAUUGAAUUUCCAAUGCGACUGCUACUUGUUAGGGUGUGGGCAAAAGGGGAGGCAUAAAAGGAAUAGAUGAAUAAUAAGAGGUAAAAAAAGAUGUGAAGAGAAACUCAAGUAAAUAAAUUGAAAAAAAAAACGUAAAAGAAAUGGAUGCAGCUGAUGUUUGUGUUUGGCAACACUUCUUUUGUGCGUAUACAAUACAAGACGAGACAGUUAGUCAGACUCACUAAAAGUCAAUUUUAAAGGUUCACUUACCGACUGUCUGACUACUAAUACUCUUGGUUACAUACACACUUUCGAAGAACAAAUAACGCUCAACAACGAAGCAACAACCACAAGAACAACAACAAUACAAGCUCAUCUAUGGGUAUUUGCUUAAAUAGUUAUUUGGAGAGCAGCAAAGGAAAGUAAAAACAAAAUAAUUUCACAUGUGGUUUGAUGAAAGAGACAGCUAGGAUGGAUGGAUGAAUGCCUGUUGGUGUAUUAACAGCGUUUAGAAUUAAUCACAAUUUGUAGAGGAUAUUUAAUACAAUACUACUAUCAGCACCACCAAAAACAACAUCAACAUCCAGCUACCCCAUGCUAACGUCGACAACCAUAAAAGGUGUGGUGUGGUCUGGUCUGGUCUAUAACGGCGACAGCAAAUUGCCAGUAUUUAGUUACUGAGAGUUUUAAACACCAACAAAUACACACCACCUCCACCUUACUAAGAAACCAACAACAACAACAUCAACAACCAUACAACCGAACGAGAUGGAUGUCUAUGGAUUAAAACCAGAUUAAAACUCGUUAAGAACAAUAAAUAAAUUAAUAAAAAUAUUUAUAAAUUAUGUA